UACAGAGGGUGCGAGCGUUAAUCGGAAUUACUGGGCGUAAAGCGUGCGCAGGCGGUUCGUUAUGUCCGAUGUGAAAGCCCCGAGCUUAACUUGGGAAUGGCAUUGGAAACUGGCGGGCUGGAGUGCGGCAGAGGGGGGUGGAAUUCCCAGUGUAGAGGUGAAAUUCGUAGAUAUUGGGAAGAACACCAGUGGCGAAGGCGGCUCACUGGCCCGUAACUGACGCUGAGGUGCGAAAGCGUGGGGAGCAAACAGGG
rnacentral:rRNA from 1 species